GCCAGGUGCGGUGGUACGUGUCUGUAGUCCCAGCUAUUCGGGAGGCUGAGGCCGGAGGAUCUCUUGAGUCCAGGAGUUCUGGGCUGUAUUGUGCUAUGCCGAUUGGGUGCCUGCACUAAGUUCGGCAGCAAUAUGGUGAUCUCCUGGGAGUGGGGGACCACCAGGUUGCCUAAGGAGGGGUGAACUGGCCCAGGUCGGAAACAGGGCAGGUCAAAACUCCCGUGCUGAUCAGCAGUGGGAUCGUGCCUGUGAAUAGCCACUGCACUCCAGCCUGGGCAACAUAGUGAGACCCUGUCUCU
ensembl:misc_RNA Metazoa_SRP Metazoan signal recognition particle RNA